AACUUCUGAAUGUUGACCUCGGAUCAGGUAGGAAUACCCGCUGAACUUAAGCAUAUCAAUAAGGCGGAGGAAAA
rnacentral:rRNA from 1 species